UACAGAGGUCCCGAGCGUUGUUCGGAUUCACUGGGUGUAAAGGGUGCGUAGGUGGCGAGGUAAGUCGGAUGUGAAAGCUCGGAGCUCAACUCCGAAAUGGCAUUGGAAACUACCUUGCUCGAGGGUUGGAGGGGGGACUGGAAUACUUGGUGUAGCAGUGAAAUGCGUAGAUAUCAAGUGGAACACCAGUGGCGAAGGCGAGUCCCUGGACAACUCCUGACACUGAGGCACGAAAGCUAGGGGAGCAAACAGG
rnacentral:rRNA from 1 species